rnacentral:rRNA from 1 species
CAAGUCGAACGGGAAACCUUUUAUUGAAGCUUCGGCAGAUUUAGCUGGUUUCUAGUGGCGGACGGGUGAGUAACGCGUGGGUAACCUGCCUUAUACAGGGGGAUAACAACCAGAAAUGGUUGCUAAUACCGCAUAAGCGCACAGGACCGCAUGGUCCGGUGUGAAAAACUCCGGUGGUAUAAGAUGGACCCGCGUUGGAUUAGCUAGUUGGCAGGGUAACGGCCUACCAAGGCGACGAUCCAUAGCCGGCCUGAGAGGGUGAACGGCCGCAUUGGGACUGAGACACGGCCCAGACUCCUACGGGAGGCAGCAGUGGGGAAUAUUGCACAAUGGGGGAAACCCUGAUGCAGCGACGCCGCGUGAAGGAAGAAGUAUCUCGGUAUGUAAACUUCUAUCAGCAGGGAAGAUAGUGACGGUACCUGACUAAGAAGCCCCGGCUAACUACGUGCCAGCAGCCGCGGUAAUACGUAGGGGGCAAGCGUUAUCCGGAUUUACUGGGUGUAAAGGGAGCGUAGACGGACUGGCAAGUCUGAUGUGAAAGGCGGGGGCUCAACCCCUGGACUGCAUUGGAAACUGUUAGUCUUGAGUGCCGGAGAGGUAAGCGGAAUUCCUAGUGUAGCGGUGAAAUGCGUAGAUAUUAGGAGGAACACCAGUGGCGAAGGCGGCUUACUGGACGGUAACUGACGUUGAGGCUCGAAAGCGUGGGGAGCAAA